UUUCACCAUCAUCAAUCGUCGACAGUGUUUCCCUCUGUAGUCCCAGCUGGACUGGAACUCACUAUGUAGCACAGAAAGAUGUCGGAAAACUUUGGAGAUUAUUCCAGCAUCACGUGGAAAACAACAGAAUAUAACGUUAACGUGUCUUACCAUCAUAUAAUAAGAAGUAAGAUGCACAUAAAUAAGACAUACAAGCUCCCAUGCA
rnacentral:lncRNA from 1 species